rnacentral:lncRNA from 1 species
GCGACACAAAAUCAUUGGACUGCUUCUCUGACCUUGAACCCCUGGGCGCCUUCUGCCUCACUUCUCUGGCUCCAGAAGUUGCCUGGGACACUGCUCAGCUCAUAGCUGUGAAGGAAACUGGCCUCAGAUCACAAGUUUUCAGUUCUCUGCUUGGAAUGGUGAAGGAACCGUGCGUGCCUGGUGGCCAGAGCCUGUGGACAGCACGGAAGGGAGACUGGAGACCUCCCAGCUGAGCAUCGCACAUACUUCCUCUCCCUUCUGUGUCUCCAGUGACUCAUUAGCGGGCAGAAGAGGAUAAUUAGUUGGUUAAUUAUGGAGAGAGAAGGAGAAAAAUAAUAAUAAAAAAAAAACAAUUCAAGUUCCCGUUGUCAUUCAUGAAGACCUUAAAGGGCCAUGGACACUCAGCAGCUGCC